UACGUAGGGGGCAAGCGUUGUCCGGAUUUAUUGGGCGUAAAGCGCGUGUAGGCGGCCAGAUAGGUCUGCUGUGAAAACUACGAGGCCUCAACCUCGAGCGUGUCGGCGGAAACCAUCUGGGCUAAGAGUCCCGGGAAGGAGGGCGAGUGGAAUUCCUGGUGUAGCGGUGGAAUGCGCAGAUAUCAGGAGGAACACCAAUAGCGAAGGCAGCUCGCUGGGACGUGACUGACACUAAGGCGCGAAAGCGUGGGGAGCGAACAGG
rnacentral:rRNA from 1 species